rnacentral:rRNA from 1 species
GAUGAACGCUAGCGGCAGGCCUAACACAUGCAAGUCGAGGGGUAACAGGGAAAAGCUUGCUUUUCCGCUGACGACCGGCGCACGGGUGAGUAACGCGUAUGCAACCUACCUUAUACAGGAGUAUAGCCCGAAGAAAUUCGGAUUAAUCCUCCAUAGUAUUUUCUAAUGGCAUCAUUUGGAAAAUUAAAGCUUCGGCGGUAUAAGAUGGGCAUGCGUCCUAUUAGCUAGAUGGUAAGGUAACGGCUUACCAUGGCAACGAUAGGUAGGGGGCCUGAGAGGGUGAUCCCCCACACUGGUACUGAGACACGGACCAGACUCCUACGGGAGGCAGCAGUGAGGAAUAUUGGGCAAUGGGGGCAACCCUGAUCCAGCCAUGCCGCGUGCAGGAAGACUGCCCUAUGGGUUGUAAACUGCUUUUAUACAGGAAGAAACUGUGCUACGUGUAGCGCACUGACGGUACUGUAAGAAUAAGGAUCGGCUAACUCCGUG